rnacentral:rRNA from 1 species
UUUAUGGAGAGUUUGAUCCUGGCUCAGGAUGAACGCUGGCGGCGUGCCUAAUACAUGCAAGUCGAGCGAACGGACGAGAAGCUUGCUUCUCUGAUGUUAGCGGCGGACGGGUGAGUAACACGUGGAUAACCUACCUAUAAGACUGGGAUAACUUCGGGAAACCGGAGCUAAUACCGGAUAAUAUUUUGAACCGCAUGGUUCAUAAGUGAAAGACGGUCUUGCUGUCACUUAUAGAUGGAUC